AGUAGGGAAUAUUGGACAAUGGGGGCAACCCUGAUCCAGCCAUGCCGCGUGAGUGAAGAAGGCCCUCGGGUUGUAAAGCUCUUUUGUCCGGAAAGAAAAGCUUCGGGUUAAUACCCCGGGGUUCUGACGGUACCGGAAGAAUAAGCACCGGCUAACUUCGUGCCAGCAGCCGCGGUAAUACGGAGGGUGCAAGCGUUACUCGGAAUUACUGGGCGUAAAGCGUGCGUAGGUGGUUGUUUAAGUCUGAUGUGAAAGCCCUGGGCUCAACCUGGGAAUGGCAUUGGAAACUGGGCAGCUAGAGUGCGGUAGAGGGUAGUGGAAUUCCCGGUGUAGCAGUGAAAUGCGUAGAGAUCGGGGGGAACAUCUGUGCCGAAGGCGACUGCCUGGACCAGCACUGACACUGAGGCACGAAAGCGUGGGGA
rnacentral:rRNA from 1 species